rnacentral:misc_RNA from 1 species
AGGAGAAGAUACUUGGUUGGGGUGUGUUAUCUCAAACUUAAAAUGCUGAUGGAUCUGUGAUGGCUAUUAUGUUUGACCUAAUUUCAUUCCUAUUUUAGUGCAUAUGUUUUGUUGGCACUGUAUAUUUAUUCAUGAUUUGUGAUAUCAUUGUAUCAUUUGUUACAUUUGAAGCACAAAAUGUAACUUGGUAUAUAUUGCUGAUAAGAGUUCCUAGUUAAGUUACUUACCUUCGUCCCUCACUCUCCUGAAAUCACAUAUUUGGUCUUUUAUGUUGCUUCUGCCAUAUUUGUGAUAUAGGAUUGUUGGUACUAUCAAAAUUUAAUUUGACAGUAGGAAAGUAGUCCCUGCUGCUGUUUCUGCCUAAAAUCUGUUCAUAUUUCACCUUUCUUUGACUCAAUUCUGAGAAUAAUGUUGGUAUUCUCAAUUUUAAUUUUCCGUUUCUUUUGUUGAGGGAUCUAUUAUUUAAUGUAUGAGUAUGAAGAUAGUUUAUUCUUUUUUCAGGGGCGGAGAUAAUAGCUUUUUUAAGGUUGCAUUGCUGCUUGUUUUCUUUUUGUAUUUCUUGAAAAUGUUUUCAGUUUAUUAUGCAUGCAAAAUCUGAUUCCGGUUUGCUAAAACCUAUGAGAAAAUAUCUAAUCCUUAUG